rnacentral:rRNA from 1 species
GACGAACGCUGGCGGCGUGCUUAACACAUGCAAGUCGAACGGAAAGGCCCUGCUUUUGUGGGGUGCUCGAGUGGCGAACGGGUGAGUAACACGUGAGUAACCUGCCCUUGACUUUGGGAUAACUUCAGGAAACUGGGGCUAAUACCGGAUAGGAGCUCCUGCUGCAUGGUGGGGGUUGGAAAGUUUCGGCGGUUGGGGAUGGACUCGCGGCUUAUCAGCUUGUUGGUGGGGUAGUGGCUUACCAAGGCUUUGACGGGUAGCCGGCCUGAGAGGGUGACCGGCCACAUUGGGCCUGAGAUACGGCCCAGACUCCUACGGGAGGCAGCAGUGGGGAGUAUUGCACAAUGGGCGGAAGCCUGAUGCAGCAACGCCGCGUGCGGGAUGACGGCCUUCGGGUUGUAAACCGCUUUCGCCUGUGACGAAGCGUGAGUGACGGUAAUGGGUAAAGAAGCACCGGCUAACUACGUG